rnacentral:rRNA from 1 species
GGACCACCCUCCAAGGCUAAAUACUACCUAGUGACCGAUAGCGUAUAGUACCGUGAGGGAAAGGUGAAAAGAACCCCGGGAGGGGAGUGAAAUAGAACCUGAAACCCUGCACUUACAAGCUGUGGAAUCACAUUUCUUGUGUGACCGCGUACUUUUUGUAGAACGGGCCAACGAGUUACGUUAAGUAGCAAGGUUAAGCACUUAAGGUGUGGAGC